rnacentral:lncRNA from 1 species
UGUAACCUUAAAGCGGCAGCGAGCGCGUGCGGAGGAGGGGGGCGGGGGCUGGACAAGAUGGCCGCGGUCAUCCCCUGUGGGCCGGCGGAGAAAGGCGCUCCGCGGGGUCCUGCCCUUGAAGGCGGGCCUGGUGCGCUGCCCCGGCGUCCUCUCAGCGCCUCGGCUUGCGGUUGCAGGGUUCCGUUAUGACUGAUUAGAAACGGGCCCAUGAUGUAAAAGCCUCUGUGCGUAUUAUGAGAUUUCAAAGUUAGAAGUUAGGUAAAUCAUAAUGCGGAGCGCUUCCUAAUAGUAAGGCUUCAUAUGGCCUGGUAAAAAUGAAUUUGAUUUCUUUUGGACUGAUAAUUAAAGCCUUGAAGCAGGCUGGAGCCGCUAGAAGUCUUUCCUCUGCCUGCGCCUGGGUGUGUAUUGAAGGAGAUGUACAUCACCUUACACUGUGGGUGUCAGUGCCCCCCAAAGGCGUCCGUCUCCCACGAGCAGCGAGGAGGGAUUUCUGCUGACUGCCGUGCCUUGGUGUAGGCACUAACAAGGCUGUGGGUGAGGCACAAUCUGUGGAGUCAUCUUGCUGUCUGUCAGGUGUUCCUGCCCUGCAGAGAGCUGCAAAAAGAUAUUUGCUGAAUCACCCAGGCUUGAUUUAACACGCAGUCUAGCAUAAGGAGAGCCUGGAGAACCUACGCUGAGCACAGAGACUGUGGCAGAACUGCUGAACAGAUGCACUCGGUGCUCCUGCUUAGGCUGAGGGCCGUAACUGGCAUUACAAUGUCUGCCUUUCCUGCCCUUGGGUGGGUAUUAAUGGCAACUGCUUUUGCUUAGUGAGACGUCGGACAUUCACAACCCAAUGGGAGAGAUAAGACCAAGUUAGUUCAUCAACGAUUUUUUUCAGGAGGCUGAGGAAGAGCUUUGAUCAUUGUCAAGUGGAGCCGUGAUACUCAAUAGCUAAUGUGCUUCUUAAUUAAUCUGCCUCAAGGGAGGGGUGCCAUGCAUGUGGUGUUGGGUUCCUGCAUAGAAAUUGCCCUGCGAAAUCACCGAGGACUAAAAAUUCCUCUCCACAUCUGUGUAGCAGAAAUUGCUCAAAGUAAGAAAUAAAGUUGGUCUGAAGCCACCCUGAGAUGCAUCAGUAUAGCUUAAAAUGUAAGAAAAGAAUCUGAAGUGAUACAUUGCAUGCAGCAGAGAUUUCCUUAUUCACAUGUUUAAAACUCAUCGGUGAUUUCCUAGUGCAGUGAAAAGCAAAUACAAACAUUAGGAUAGAAAGGGCAAAGAGAGAAACUUAAAUGUAAUUAGGCACUCAUUAGUUUAAAGUCUUGGUAAAGACCAGUGGCAACUAGACUAGAUAGAAAAGUCAAUGAAUUGUUCCACCAGUAUAUGAACAAACCGAGUGAUGGAGGAAAAGGUUGUCUUAAUGGGCACGCAUCUUAGCCUGGAGAAUUCUUCGUUUGCUAACAAGCCUUCCUUCAGCAUGCUGUUAUUUUUCUAUAUUGUGGCUGCAGAGAUAAAGUAACCGAUAAGGAAUUUGAUUGUGUGGUUACAAAUGCCUAAGUCUGUUCUUCUGACUCCUAGCCAAGGUCACUGUGUUUAUUAUCUUGCUGCUUUUGGAAAGCGGAACUCCAUAUUUCAAUAAAGCUCUCAUUUUCUUUGAGAAAAUCUCCAUGAAGCAGAUACUUUCCUUGCUGAUAAUGCUGACUUUCCAAGGACAGCUGAAACAUACAAGGAAGAGAAAAAUCGUAACUGGACAAACAGUUUGUGUAUGGGAAGAAGAGUUCAAGUAUGGGAAGAUUUUGAGGGCUUUACUGAAGAGAAAAAAGGCAACUUUGAAAAGAACUAGAUGGCAAAACACUAUACAAAGCAGGGAGAGUAAGUAGCUGUGUGGAAGAACAAGCAUCACUCAGGAAACUGAAGGUGAGCCCAAAGAGGAGAGGAUUUCAAAGUCACUGAUUCUUCUAAUAUCUGUGAGAAGAAUCCCAUUGAUUUUAAGAGACUUGAUUGUGUACAGAGGUAAUUCAGACAGGAAUGCUGUUUCUGUUGUACCUGAAAAUAAAGAUGACUUCAGCAGCACUGAUAUUUCAGAUAAACUGAGGUGAUUGGAAAGAGUCUUCAAGACAACAAUCAAAAAUCAAACAGAACACAAGAAACACAUAAGCUAAAUACUGUUACAGUCAGAGUAAAAUCUUAAUGAGGCAAUAAACGCAGCAGAGACCCUUAAUUGAGCUUUGGGGACACGAGUAACUAUGGAUUAAAAAAAUCUAGGAAGGAAGCACUGUGUGUGGGGGGGAAGAAAGAAAACACUGAAUUUUGAGAAAAUACAAAGUCUGAAGUACUCCUAAGAUCCAUGCAAGGAGCUGUCCCAGAAACAAAGUGAAGCAACCGGGAAGGAAAAACAGCAUUUAAAAUGAAUUCUUCUACAUUGAUGUAGUGGAUGAAUCAUGGAACUGGAUGAGAUUCUACUAUGAACACAGCAGGUGGAGGAAAAAAACAGUGAGGGUGGAGGCUAGAAUGGUAAUAGAGACAUCUUAAGAAAAUUAGAGUCCAUGACAGCAAUGGAUUAAUGAAUUUCCUCCAUGGUCAUGUGCUAGGUAGCUUAGACUGUGUUUCUGAUAAGCAAGUGCUAACUCCAAUCACCAAAAAGGAAUCUCUGUAAGCAACUUACUGCUACCAUUUCACAUUCAGUAGCAACAUUAGAGCAGACUGUGUUCAGGAAGGCAGCAAAGUGUAUGCUGUGGUUCAAGAUGAUUCAGGGUUAAUAUUCCUACUCUAGUUUGCAGAAGUAGCCCCAGAAUCCGUCUAGAGCUAUAGGGAGCUUGGAAUCAGAGAAACCUGUACAGCCAAGAAGCAGCAUCUUGUGCCUGCAAGGCCAGGCACAAUCCAUCUCUUUAUGGAUAUCCUCAAUGCACAGGCAUCUUGGGGAGCAUACUGGGAGGAAGACAAGGUAGUGCACAAACCAGACCUUAUCUUACAAAAAAUAUAGUGGAGCUUGACAAGAAAUGGCCUGAAAAUAUUGAAGGGUUUAAAAUGGGGUAAAAAUGCAACUGAUUCUCUUUUGUUCAAAGAACGAAAGAAUGGAGAAAUUGUCCUUGUGGCUCUGGCUGGCCUUUUAAAUGACCACUUUAACAUUUAUACAAUUAAUUAGAAAUUAGCAAAAUAUUGAAUGCAAAAUGUUUUUUGAUUAACUUAGUAACAUCAUGCUAAAGGAAAACAUCUGUGAACCAUAUUCUAAGGAGAUGGCUGUUAAAUAAGGAUAAGCUGUGGUUUUUUUUCCCCACUGUGUCAAUGGUCACAUACAACAAUGGUCACAUACAACUUGUACUUUAUAACAGAUUUUAUUUUCUGUGUACAAGAUGCCUGUGCUUUACUGAAUUCAAUAUUAGGCAUGUUUUCAAAGGCAAAUACAGAUAAACCAGAAAAAAAACUAUUAGGCCUUUCCGUUACUUCAAAUAUGCUCAUCUUGAUAUCAGAAGGUAUAUAUUAAGAUAAAGCAAGUAUAUUUAUAACUUCUAAUUAAGGAAAGGAACAUAGCCUAGUGGCUACGACCAAUGCAGGUAUAUUUGCCUUGUACUUACCCACUUGUCUGCAAUUGCAGGUUAAACAAAGAUGAUGAUCUGUUCCCUUUUGCAACAAAGAGACUGUUAGCUUCUACUGUGCAAAGUAUUCUGGGUAUACUUACGAAAGUUUUUAAUAACAGCAACUGACGUAUCAUAAUGGAAAUUACCCAGUUUUUCCUGCUUAUGUAAAGUUACUAAAAUCAUCUGGAAAAUACUUUCUUAGUGUGGGACAAAUUACGCAGCUUCCAUCUAGUAGUAAGUUUUGCUGACUGUGACAUAUUUGAGAAUGCAAGCUACAACUGGGUAUUAGAUAGAGAUCGGUAUGCAGGACAAAUUAACCAAACUCUGGACAACCAUAAUAAACAAGAAUCCCCACGUGGAUUUGCUGACUGAGCAGCACCUUCUCAAACAGAACUGGCAACCAUUUAACCUGUUGCUACUGUUGUGAGGAAACUUCUCAGAGGAUUUUUCUUUUUUUAAGAAUGGAUAUUUAUUGACUUUCCAGAUGACAUUGCUAGUCCUCAUAAACAGGAUGGUUACUUUGCACAUAAUAGAAAGUGUAAACAGAAAUACGAGCAUCAGUAUAUGCUCACUUCUUCAAUGGUGAUCCAGCUCCUGCCUUCUAAAACAAAGUCCUGUUGUCGUCAAUUUGCACUUCCAUUCUGCACCAUUUGUAGAUAUUCCUUGUAUAGUUUUUCUUGGGUUUCAUAAAGUUUCUUUAGCUUCUUAAUUUGUCCUUUGCUGAGCUCCUUGCCUUCUGUAUCAUGUGUGGGAAAUCCGUUUUCAUCGAACUUGGAAUAUUUGUCGUGUUCUGAUUUAAACAUUUCGUGUGGUGGAAUCUUCAUUUUUGCCAGUUUUGCUGCUUCCUGCUCUUGUUUUUUUCUGGCUGCUUCUUCUUUCUUCCUUUUUUUCUCUUCUUCAAUCUUUUUCUUUUCUUCUCUUUCUUUCAAUAGCGUGUCUUUAUCCACCAGUUUAACCACAGUUGGAAGUCCUUCAUGAUCUUCAAAUCGAACGCCAAGCUCAGGAAGGAUGUCAUCUCGAAGAGCAUCACUCAACUGCAGCACUUCAGUUACUUUUUUCUCUCUGGCAAUUUGUCGCACUCCUUCUCUGAACUCAGAAAGAACUUGUAGGUAUGGCAUCACUGUAGAUUCAAUGUUUAUGUUUUGAUUAUUUCCUCCAACAGGAAAACCAAUUGCGUCAUCACUUUCUAUGGCACCAAAAAUCUUUAGCAUUUGAGUGAGAUAGCAACUGAUGUUUUCUAAAAGCAGUCUGUUUGGCAUUUGUCUGGCAGAUUUCUUUGCAGCAAUAUAGGAGUUUGACUGACUGACUAACGAACGCAUUUCUUCUAAGACAGAGCGAGUGUCAACGUUGUCACACAGUGCUUCAUGAAUCGCUGCCUUCUUGUCAUAAAAAUUUUUGUUCAGCUCCGCUUCCUGAUUUUCCCAUUUCUGAAACUGGCCUGUCACAUCAGUGGGAGCUCGAAGAAUAUCCUUCACAUUUAAAAAGAACUCAUUCAUAAACUUCUCAUACUGAAUAGCCGACUCCAUGGUAUUACUUGAAUAAUCCAGCGUGUCCUUCCAAGAGUGCAUGAGGAAAGCCAAUCGCAGU